GCGAACAGCCGGCACCGCCUUCUGCCCCGGGGCGCGCGGGCGGCGAUGGAGAGCGAAGAGGCGGGAGCGGUACGGCUGUGCUGCUGCUACUGCUUCGUUGGCUGUGGUUAAGACGACCUGGAGAGGGAAGCGGGGCCUAGGAAGGACUCUAAUCAUUCUUUUCUUGGUUUGCCCACCGGCUCCGCCUGAAGAUGAAUGAAUUUAAUUGCGAACGCGCUGUGCUCCGUCAGCGAAGCCAAUGAAAUAAAACCUCCAGGCGAUACCCCGCUGUGUCUGAGGGCUCGGAACCCGUGUUGCUGGCCCGGUACAAGCGCUGCUUGUUCCAGCAUCAGAAGCAAGAUCACAGCACACCUGGCUCCAUACUCAAGGUCAGGCUGGAUGGGGCUCUGAGCAACCUGAAGUAGCUGUAGGUGUCCCUGUUCAUUUCAGAGCAGUUGGACUAGAUGGCCUGCAAGGAUCCCCUCCAACUCAAAUGGCUCUAUGCUUCUGUGUUGAACAUCAGUCCUAGUGUGGACCAAGGUGGAAGUGUGUCAUACAGCGUAAGAGAUGAAGCUGACCAAUAAAACGAAGAAAACCCUACAAAAACGUCUGUCUCCUUGCCACUGUUGAUGUCAGAUGCUGUGAUAUGAGCCUGUGGAGUCAGAGCAGUAAUUCACCUGGCACUCGCUCUUAUGAAGUCAUGAGCAUCUUGUUCGGAGAAGAAACAGAUCGGUCUCAGCUUGAGGAGCCCCAGCCUGCAGUGUCUGCUUCUCUUUCAAAUUCUUUGGGCUCCAACAGAAGAACAAAGGUGAAGAAGCAGCCCAGGCUAUUACACCUUUAAGCCUGUAUCAUGUUUCCAAUGUUAGAGCUCGGACUAUGGUUUGGAUCCUAAAGCUAAACUGAAGGCUGAAAAUUGCAAAAAGCAGAAGAAAGCUAGAUGUAAUGGCAGAUGGUUAGCUCAUCCCAUGAAAGAUGUCUGCACCAUAAAGCUGGGUUCUGAAAGAGCACAGCGUUCCUCUGGCUAUAUGUGCAGUGCGGUGCUGAAGUCAAACGAUGCUCAGAAAAUCCAGGAAAAGUGCUGUGAUGUGGAUUGAAGUUGUCACAUGACUCAGUGGGUCCUAAUGGCAAAUCUGUUAAACUUACCCAAGCAGAUGCAAGUAACUUAACAGGGCUUCCUCCACAGAGGUGUUUUCUGUCAUCAAGUGCCUGGAAACGGCGCAAGAAUUCCUCCAGGGGAAACUUUAUCUCUUUUGGUGCAAGAUGUAUUCAUCACCACUUGAAAAUGAGCAGGUCCUGAGACUUCUAGACCUUUUAGCCAGCUUCACCUCUGUAACUGCAUCCUAGUAUAUAUGCUGUGUGGGCAAUAUUGGUCAUCAAACUCCACUGGAGCAUGGAGCUGGUGCAGACUGCAUGGAGAGUCAGGUGAGAAACCCGUGAAAUCUGUUCUUAUUACUCCAUUGAUUCAAAUGGCAGCACUUGCGGAAGCGUGCUAGUGAGGGGCCUUGCAGAUGUCCACUCUGAUCAUGAAGUUGAUCAGCUCAGACUGAAAGCAGAGAAAGAUUUGCAUGAAUGACUGCAAACAAAAACUUGCUGAUUUCUCCAAACUCUGGUUAAUUGACCAUCCACCAAGUCUGGGAAAAAGAAAAAGAAAAACAGAUGUAAACUGUGGCCAGAAAAAUAAUUAAAAAAAAUAUCCUUGAAACACCAACAAAGAACAUACAGCACAAGGCAACAGAAACUGCUGCCUUUUGGGGUCCUUAGUAUUCAUUCAGAAUAGGCAGCAGAGCAAGGGCAUACAUGACCCUUGGACCUCACUUCUUGUUGGCAAAGAGCCAUCCAAUUGUUGCCUGUGAUAAACAUCACCUCCUCUUCCUUGGCACUGACAGCAUUUCCCACAGGGAUUGACAGCAGCACUGAAGGAUUUCUGAGGGCCCCUCGGAUGAAGGUUGUGACUGAAAAUUAGAGUCCAAGCGGCAAGCCAAGGAAAGGCCUGUGCAACAAGUCAUCUAGAAAAGAUAGAAGAGCCUUUGUCUGAGGAGGAAGCUAUUUGCCAAGUUUCAAAGAGUAUCUCUGAGGAAAUGCCUGUGGAGUCUAUGAAUAGACCCAUGGAAUCUUCCUCCUGUCUUGUUAUGUUUUGGAUAGUAAUCUUACUGCAGUGUGUAAACCAAAUCCAAGAUCUAAAACUCUGUUUGGUACUCAUAUCUUGGCUGAUCAUGUAGGAGGGACGAGGAGAGGAUGUACAAAUGACCUUACUUGCACUUCUUGUUUGAAGGGUGUAUUGUGCAAGUUUAGACAAUGGGUGAGAUUAGUCUGCUUGAAAGAAGUUGCAUAUUAAUCUUUGGGAGAUACUUAGUGCUGGGGGAGAGGUGAAACAUGUGUCAAUGCCCAAGGGAGAGAAGUGCAAGAAGAAGCCAGCCAACAGUGCAAAUUCAGAUAUUUUGUUCUGCUUUUAGAGAGCUGGGACCGUUCUUAAACAUUUUCAAAUGUACUGGGCAAGUGUGGUGCAAUGUGAAUCUUGCUGCACAGACUGCUGCAAGAUCAAUGGGCAGAAGUGUGGCUGGGCUUGCUGACUCAGCCAAAGCGAUUCCAGUGUUUCCCCACAUCUUGCUGGUUUACCUCCCAUCAGCACCAAUGUCACCAAUUUCAGUCAAAGGCAACCAUGAACAUGUCACCUCUCGCAGUCAGUGGAGGCAGACACAGGGGUGAGCGGCCCCCCACAUGCACAUAUGUGGUAGCAGCAGUGAGUGGAUGCUGGCAGCUGCAUGGCAACAGCGCCUUUACGAUACACACAGCUGUUCCACAUCCGAGGCAAGGAUGUCCCCUGUGCUGCUACAGCAGAUGUCAGACAUGGCACAUUAG
ensembl:lncRNA